GAGCGACCCGCGUGACGAUGAAGGCAAUUGUUGUAAAGUUCUUUUAUACGGGAAGAAUAAGGAUAGGAGUGGAAAGCCUAUUCCAUGACGGUACCGUAUGAAUAAGCUCCGGCUAACUACGUGCCAGCAGCCGCGGUAAUACGUAAGGAGCUAGCGUUGUUCGGAUUCAUUGGGCGUAAAGGGUACGUAGGCGGUUAUAAAAUUGUGGAUUUAAAGACCGAGGCUUAACCUCGUGUAUGGUCUGCAAACUAUAUGACUAUAGUUCAGGAUGGGAAGCUGGAAUUCCACGUGUAGGGGUGAAAUCUGUACAGAUGUGGAAGAAUACCGGCGGCGAAGGCGAGCUUCUGGCCUGAAACUGACGCUAAGGUACGAAAGCGUGGGGAUCAAACAGGAUUAGAUACCCUGGUAGUCCACGCCGUAAACGAUGUACACUACGUGUUGGGAGAACGAAUCUUCUGGUGCCCUACCUAACACAUUAACUGUACCGCCUGGGAGUAUGCUCGCAAGGGUGAAACUCAAAGGAAUUGACGGGGGCCCGCACAAGCGGUGGAGUAUGUGGUUCAUUUCCAUGAUACGCGAAAAACCUUACCAUGGCUUGACAUUUAGGGGGCGGAUAUAGAGAUAUAUCUUUUUUUCGGAACUGCUUGACAGGUGCUGCAUGGKUGUCGUCAGCUCGUGUUGUGAGAUGUUGGGUUAAGUCCCCCAACGAGCGCAACCCCUAUUGCUAGUUGCCAUCAGGUAAUGCUGGGGACUCUAGCGAAACUGCCGGGGACAAACCSGAGGAAGCUGGGGAUGACGUCCAAUCCUCAUGGCCCUUAUGUCCUGGGCUACACACGUACUACAAUGGGCUGUACAAAGGGUUGCAAACUGUAAAGUUGACGCCAAUUCCAAAAACCGGUCCCAAGUUCCGAUUGAAAUCUGCAACUCGACUUUAUGAAGCUGGAAUCGCUAGUAAUYGCAGAUCWUCCCGCUCCGGGAAUACGCUUCCCGGCCCUUGUACGCACCGCCCCUCCCCCCAUGUGGUUUGUGGACCCCCAAAGUUUUUACCCUAACCGCAAGGGGGGGGGUACCUAAGGUGUGCUUGGUAAGGGGGGGGAAGUCCUAACAAGGUAACCGUACCGGAAGGGG
rnacentral:rRNA from 1 species